rnacentral:rRNA from 1 species
GACGAACGCUGGCGGCGUGCCUAAUACAUGCAAGUUGAGCGCUGAAGGUUGGUACUUGUACCAACUGGAUGAGCAGCGAACGGGUGAGUAACGCGUGGGGAAUCUGCCUUUGAGCGGGGGACAACAUUUGGAAACGAAUGCUAAUACCGCAUAAAAACUUUAAACACAAGUUUUAAGUUUGAAAGAUGCAAUUGCAUCACUCAAAGAUGAUCCCGCGUUGUAUUAGCUAGUUGGUGAGGUAAAGGCUCACCAAGGCGAUGAUACAUAGCCGACCUGAGAGGGUGAUCGGCCACAUUGGGACUGAGACACGGGCCAAACUCCUACGGGAGGCAGCAGUAGGGAAUCUUCGGCAAUGGACGAAAGUCUGACCGAGCAACGCCGCGUGAGUGAAGAAGGUUUUCGGAUCGUAAAACUCUGUUGGUAGAGAAGAACGUUGGUGAGAGUGGAAAGCUCAUCAAGUGACGGUAACUACCCAGAAAGGGACGGCUAACUACGUG